AGAUUGAACGCUGGCGGCAUGCCUGACACAUGCAAGUCGAACGGGAGUAGCAAUACUCUAGUGGCGGACGGGUGAGGAAUACGUAGGAAUUUGCCCUUAAGUGGGGGAUAACCCGGGGAAACCCGGAUUAAUACCGCAUGACCUCGAAAGAGCAAAGUGGGGGAUCGCAAGACCUCACGCUUUUGGAGAAGCCUACGUCGGAUUAGCUAGUUGGUGAGGUAAUGGCUCACCAAGGCGACGAUCCGUAACUGGUCUGAGAGGAUGAUCAGUCACACCGGAACUGAGACACGGUCCGGACUCCGUACGGGAGGCAGCAGUGGGGAAUAGUU
rnacentral:rRNA from 1 species